UGCGUUUUGAACUGGUAAGCUAGAGUAUNUCAGAGGGGGGUAGAAUUCCACGUGUAGCAGUGAAAUGCGUAGAGAUGUGGAGGAAUACCGAUGGCGAAGGCAGCCCCCUGGGAUAAUACUGACGUUCAUGCUCGAAAGCGUGGGUAGCAAACAGGAUUAGAUACCCUGGUAGUCCACGCCCUAAACGAUGUCAAUUAGCUGUUGGGGCACUUGAUGCCUUAGUAGCGAAGCUAACGCGUGAAAUUGACCGCCUGGGGAGUACGGUCGCAAGAUUAAAACUCAAAGGAAUUGACGGGGACCCGCACAAGCGGUGGAUGAUGUGGAUUAAUUCGAUGCAACGCGAAGGACCUUACCUGGUCUUGACAUGUACGGAAUCUUCCAGAGACGGAAGAGUGCCUUCGGGAGCCGUAACACAGGUGCUGCAUGGCUGUCGUCAGCUCGUGUCGUGAGAUGUUGGGUUAAGUCCCGCAACGAGCGCAACCCUUGUCAUUAGUUGCCACCAUUUAGUUGGGCACUCUAAUGAGACUGCCGGUGACAAACCGGAGGAAGGUGGGGAUGACGUCAAGUCCUCAUGGCCCUUAUGACCAGGGCUUCACACGUCAUACAAUGGUCGGUACAGAGGGUAGCCAAGCCGCGAGGUGGAGCCAAUCUCAGAAAACCGAUCGUAGUCCGGAUUGCACUCUGCAACUCGAGUGCAUGAAGUCGGAAUCGCUAGUAAUCGCAGGUCAGCAUACUGCGGUGAAUACGUUCCCGGGUCUUGUACACACCGCCCGUCACACCAUGGGAGUGGGGGAUACCAGAAGU
rnacentral:rRNA from 1 species